AAUAAGUAUAUGCUGUUAUGUAGGACAUUAGGAGAAUCUAUGAUUUGAUUUUAUAAUGUUGAUAUGAAUAGUAUACAUAAUUGAGAUAUUGGUGUCAGUGGAACGCAUACAUUUAGCUCCUGGAACGCAAAACCGAAGGUGGACCGCAAGGAAAUGGCCGCUGGAACGCAUGCCUAGCGAAACCGGAAGUGACGUCACACAACCUAAAUGAUAUGGAUUGGAACUACUGGGGGAACCCAGGAGGACGCUGAUAGGAUGAUUGAAGCAGGGGAACGCCCCCUUUUUACAGAUUAUGGCGCCAAAGAGCAUUUAUAAACUGGCAAUAUAGUUUAGAGAACUUAUGCACCUGAGGAAGAU